rnacentral:hammerhead_ribozyme from 1 species
GUGCUGAUGAAGAGUCCCAAACUAGGACGAAACGGUUGUCCAGUAC